UUAUGCACGGUCUUGUACAUU
ensembl:piRNA 21ur-6036 ncRNA